rnacentral:rRNA from 1 species
AUGUGCGGCCAUCAGGAGGACGAGCUUCAUUUGUUCUUUCUUUGUCAUUUUGCUCGAGCGGCUUGGUUUUCCUCUCCUUGGUUCCUUAGAUCGUACAUAUUAGUCCACGGGCAUUCAACUAUGCAUUCUAUUCUUAUUGCUUUACUUAGCAUGAGGCACCCUUAUGGUUCCAUCUCUAAUAUUCUCAAUUUUUUGUGGUGUCUUUGGAAGGCUAGAAAUGGUUAUCUUUUUGAUAGGAAUAGGGCUCUUCCUUAUCAGGUGCAUGUUGCUGCUACAGCUUUGUCCCUGGAUUCUGGUAAUCACAUGUCUUAUUUAUCUAAGGUCCAAAAAUAUUUUCUGAUGCAGCUUUUAGGACUGCCAAAGUUCCAGGAUUACUUCCAGGAACAGUUGCUACUGGAGUUGGUAUUUAUCUGUCGGUGCCCUAUGAUCAAAUAG